rnacentral:tRNA from 1 species
GUCUCAGUAGCAUAGUGGUUAGUGGAAAGCCCCGGAUAGGUUGAGACGCGGGUUCGAAUCCCGUCUGAGAUC